AUUGAACACUGGCGGCAGGCUUAACACAUGCAAGUCGAGCGGAGCGAGGGUGCUUGCACCUUAGCUUAGCGGCGGACGGGUGAGUAAUGCUUAGGAAUCUGCCUAUUAGUGGGGGACAACAUUCCGAAAGGAAUGCUAAUACCGCAUACGCCCUACGGGGGAAAGCAGGGGAUCUUCGGACCUUGCGCUAAUAGAUGCGCCUAAGUCGGAUUAGCUAGUUGGUGGGGUAAAGGCCUACCAAGGCGACGAUCUGUAGCGGGUCUGAGAGGAUGAUCCGCCACACUGGGACUGAGACACGGCCCAGACUCCUACGGGAGGCAGCAGUGGGGAAUAUUGGACAAUGGGCGGAAGCCUGAUCCAGCCAUGCCGCGUGUGUGAAGAAGGCCUUUUGGUUGUAAAGCACUUUAAGCGAGGAGGAGGCUACUUAGAUUAAUACUCUGGGAUAGUGGACGUUACUCGCAGAAUAAGCACCGGCUAACUCUGUGCCAGCAGCCGCGGUAACAC
rnacentral:rRNA from 1 species